UUUCCGUAGGUGAACCUGCGGAAGGAUCAUUAUUGUAUAACCGAGGUGCGAGGGCCGUCGCUGACCCGAAAGGUCGUGCACGCCCGAGUGCCCUCACACACAUCCAUCUCACCCCUAUGUGCACCACCGCGUGGGUCCCCCUUUGGCUUGUUCGGAGGGGGGCUUACGUUUUCACACAAACUUUGUAUGCAGUGUAGAAUGUAUUUUUUGUUUUUGCGAUCACGCAAUCAAUACAACUUUCAACAACGGAUCUCUUGGCUCUC
rnacentral:misc_RNA from 1 species